rnacentral:rRNA from 1 species
AUUGAACGCUGGCGGCAUGCCUUACACAUGCAAGUCGAACGGUAGCGGGCCUUCGGGUGCCGACGAGUGGCGAACGGGUGAGUAAUACAUCGGAACGUGCCCGAUCGUGGGGGAUAACGAGGCGAAAGCUUUGCUAAUACCGCAUACGAUCUACGGAUGAAAGCAGGGGACCGCAAGGCCUUGCGCGGACGGAGCGGACGAUGGCAGAUUAGGUAGUUGGUGGGAGAAAAGCUUACCAAGCCGACGAUCUGUAGCUGGUCUGAGAGGAUGAUCAGCCACACUGGUGCUGAGACACGGCCCAGACUCCUACGGGAGGCAGCAGUGGGGAAUUUUGGACAAUGGGCGCAAGCCUGAUCCAGCCAUGCCGCGUGCAGGAUGAAGGCCUUCGGGUUGUAAACUGCUUUUGUACGGAACGAAAAGCCUUCUUUUAAUACAGGAGGGUCAUGACGGUACCGUAAGAAUAAGCACCGGCUAACUACGUG